CCUACGGGCGGCAGCAGUAGGGAAUCUUCCACAAUGGGCGAAAGCCUGAUGGAGCAACGCCGCGUGGGUGAAGAAGGUCUUCGGAUCGUAAAACCCUGUUGUUAGAGAAGAAAGUGCGUGAGAGUAACUGUUCACGUUUCGACGGUAUCUAACCAGAAAGCCACGGCUAACUACGUGCCAGCAGCCGCGGUAAUACGUAGGUGGCAAGCGUUAUCCGGAUUUAUUGGGCGUAAAGGGAACGCAGGCGGUCUUUUAAGUCUGAGGUGAAAGCCUUGGGCUUAACCGGAGUAGUGCAUUGGAAACUGGCAGACGUGAGUGCAGAAGAGGAGAGUGGAAUUCCAGGUGUAGCGGUGAAAUGCGUAGAUAUAUGGAAGAACACCAGUGGCGAAAGCGGCUCUCUGGUCUGUAACUGACGCUGAGGUUCGAAAGCGUGGGUAGCAAACAGGAUUAGAUACCCGAGUAGUC
rnacentral:rRNA from 1 species